UUGUAGCCUGCUAUGGUAUAACUUAGUGGCAGACGGGUGAGUAAUGUAUAGGAAUUUACCUAGUAGUACGGAAUAAUUGUUGGAAACGGCAACUAAUACCGUAUACGCCCUACGGGGGAAAAAUUUAUUGCUAUUAGAUGAGCCUAUAUUAGAUUAGCUAGUUGGUGGGGUAAUAGCCUACCAAGGCAAUGAUCUAUAGCUGAUCUGAGAGGAUGAUCAGCCACACUGGAACUGAGAUACGGUCCAGACUCCUACGGGAGGCAGCAGUGGGGAAUAUUGGACAAUGGGCGAAAGCCUGAUCCAGCCAUGCCGCAUGAGUGAAGAAGGCCUUCGGGUUGUAAAGCUCUUUUAGUGAGGAAGAUAAUGACGGUACUCACAGAAGAAGUCCUGGCUAACUCCGUGCCAGCAGCCGCGGUAAUACGGAGAGGGCUAGCGUUAUUCGGAAUCAUUGGGCGUAAAGGGCGCGUAGGCGGAUUAGUAAGUUAAAAGUGAAAUCCCAAGGCUCAACCUUGGAAUUGCUUUUAAAACUGCUAGUCUAGAGAUUGAAAGAGGAUAGAGGAAUUCCUAGUGUAGAGGUGAAAUUCGUAAAUAUUAGGAGGAACACCAGUGGCGAAGGCGUCUAUCUGGUUCAAAUCUGACGCUGAGGCGCGAAGGCGUGGGGAGCAAACAGGAUUAGAUACCCUGGUAGUCCACGCUGUAAACGAUGAAUGUUAAAUAUGGGAAGUUUACUUUCUGUAUUACAGCUAACGCGUUAAACAUUCCGCCUGGGGACUACGGUCGCAAGAUUAAAACUCAAAGGAAUUGACGGGGACCCGCACAAGCGGUGGAGCAUGUGGUUAAUUCGAUGCACGCGAAAAACCUUACCACUCCUUGACAUGGAAAUCAUACCUAUUC
rnacentral:rRNA from 1 species